rnacentral:misc_RNA from 1 species
AAAGAAGGUAAAAUCAAUCAUUUAUACAUUUAUUUAUUUAUGAGUAUUUUAUAGCUCUAUAAGCUAGUUCCUCUGGGAGCAUGAUCAAUCUGAUUAGUCUGGGUUGUAAAAAGGUUGAUUUUGAAUCUGUAGUUGCCACAGUUUUUUGUUUCCUAAAAUCCACAUUUCUAGUAGGUUUGGGAUUUUUUUUUCAUUUCAAGUUGUUCCAUAUGGUCGCCCUCACUCCUCUGGUUACUUUUACGGUCGCAUUUGUACUGGAUAUUUCGUUCUACUGUGGGUACAAUUCCUAUAUAUUUGGGUGUGAAGUAACAGCUUGUCAUGUUCAUGUCUAAGCUUCUUUAACACAUGCUUAUGUCUCCCAUUGCAAAGUUGUUGUAGGUCCCACUAGAAUACUAUUUCCAUGUAAUGUGUGCAUGAUUAGAAGUCUUACCUUUCUUAUUUUUGUUUUUAUAAGUCUUUUAAUAUUGUGGUUAAUAUGUGAGGCACAGCAAAUCUUUGUUUAGAAAAGGAUAACCACAACAAAUGCUUAUCCAUGGGUUAUUAUUCAGUGAUCAACAAAAUGGUAUUCGUUUUGCAUUUACUUUUACUUUUGAUUAUAAUUUUAUGGCCAAUUUACGACAUCACUUGUUGAUAAAUUUAAGGAGUUAUUUUCCCCAACUUUUAAUUUGUAUUCUUGUAAUCAUUGCAGUCACGCAGAUAAAGUAGACCUAAUAAUCACAUUGUGCUUAAUAAUAAACUUGUGGUUGAAAGUUAAAGCUAGAUGAUAAAGGAUGGGAUAGUGUCCUGGGGUCAAAUUUUAGUAUUAGUCUGAAGUAAUAGAUUUGGCCAUCAAAUGUGACAAUUUAAAGCCCUUCUUCUUAGGGAGAUGCGAUCCUAAUUAUUUUUUCCUCUCCAACAUGGUGAGCAUUUGGACUAAAUGUGUUAAUUUUGUUGAUACUAAACAUGUUUGCUCAUGCUACUUGUAUAUAUAUGGCAAAAAAGUGGUAUUGGUAUUGUUUUAUGAUGAUACAAAUCAAAUCAGUUGUGCUUAUGAUUUCCAUAUGGUGACUUCUAACAUGGUGUUGCAGUCAUCUGUUGAUGUGGACUUCUUCACUGAAUAUGGAGAAGGGAGCAGGUACAGAAUAGAGGAAGUAAUUGGUAAAGGAAGCUAUGGUGUUGUUUGUUCUGCAUAUGAUACACAUAUUGGAGAAAAGGUUGCAAUAAAGAAAAUAAAUGACAUCUUCGAACAUGUUUCUGAUGCCACCCGCAUACUUCGAGAGAUUAAACUUCUCAGGCUCCUGCGUCAUCCAGAUAUAGUGGAGAUCAAGCACAUUUUGUUGCCUCCUUCCAGAAGGGAAUUUAAGGACAUAUAUGUUGUCUUUGAGUUGAUGGAAUCUGACUUACACCAAGUUAUUAAAGCAAAUGAUGAUUUAACUCCAGAACAUUAUCAGUUCUUUCUUUAUCAACUUCUCAGAGGCCUGAAAUACAUACACACAGCCAAUGUCUUUCAUCGGGAUCUAAAACCAAAAAAUAUCUUAGCAAAUGCAGACUGCAAGCUGAAGAUCUGUGACUUUGGGCUUGCAAGAGUAGCGUUUAAUGAUACCCCGACAGCCAUUUUCUGGACAGACUAUGUUGCAACAAGGUGGUAUAGGGCUCCUGAAUUGUGUGGAUCAUUUUUCUCAAAGUAUACACCAGCAAUAGACAUAUGGAGCAUUGGAUGCAUCUUUGCUGAACUUUUGACAGGGAAACCUCUUUUCCCUGGGAAAAAUGUAGUCCAUCAACUGGAUCUAAUGACUGAUCUGUUGGGAACACCAUCAGCUGAAGCCAUUGCCAGGGUGCGCAAUGAGAAGGCUCGAAGAUACUUAAGCAGCAUGCGGAAGAAGAAGCCUAUUCCUUUCUCCCAGAAGUUUCCUAAUGCAGAUCCCCUUGCACUUCGUUUGUUGGAAAAAAUGUUGGCAUUUGAACCCAAGGACCGACCCACUGCUGAAGAGGCUCUUGCUGAUCCAUAUUUUAAGGGUUUGGCCAAAGUUGAGAGAGAGCCUUCUGCUCAACCAGUUACUAAGAUGGAAUUUGAAUUUGAGAGACGAAGGAUAACUAAGGAAGAUGUACGAGAGCUCAUAUACAGAGAAAUUUUAGAGUACCAUCCUAACAUGUUGAAAGAAUACUUAGAAGGUGCGGAGCCAACAGGGUUCAUGUAUCCAAGUGCUGUUGACCAUUUUAAGAAGCAAUUUGCUUACCUUGAGGAGCACUAUGGAAAUGGUGCAACUGCUGCUCCACCUGAGAGGCAGCAUGCAUCCUUGCCGAGGCCGUGCGUGUUAUAUUCAGAUAAUACAGUACAGAAUUCACUGGAAGUCUCAAAUGAUCUUUCCAAAUGCUCUAUCAAAGAAAUUGGGAAGCCACAUAUGGACCAAAAUGGUGGGAUCCCAAUGACAAGGCUUCCUCUUCAUGUUCCUCAAAGUAUCCAAGGUAUGAGCUAAUUGCAUUUGUUUACUCCUCUGCUUGCUUUUAUCAAUAUUAUAUAACAAAUGGAGGAAUAUACUGUAUCAACUUCUGGAAAUUUCAAUAAUAUUUUGGUGUACAGAUUUCCAAGUGGAUUGUCAGUAUGAGUAAGUGAUAAUUGGCUAUUUAAGGAAGUGAGCAUUUGCAUCACGUCAUUGUUCUUUCCAUGGUCCAAUUAUUGGAUUCUUGUUCCCCCAAAAUUUCCCCACUUAGGUUUUUAUAUCAAAUGGUUUAUUUAUCAUCUUAUUUCAGAGCCUGUCAAUUUAUCUGUUGUCUGUCAAACUUAUGGUUACUUAAUAUCUACUGCAAAAACAGUUUGCAAGAUGAAAUAGAAACCAUAAAAUUAUUAUGUUUCGAUUCCAAGUUUCUAACUUCAUUUGAGGACGAGUCAAGAUACUUACAGAAACCUCCUCUUCUUGCUGCUUUAUUAUAACCUGAUCAAAUGAGUUUCUUGUUUUACACACUAGAUAAACACCAAAAUGAGAAAUAUUCAGUAUAUGAGUUUGAAGUGUAGAUUCUUUUUCUUUUUCCAAGUUAAAAAUUUAUGGAUUAAGAUGCAUACAUUGCUGUACAAUGGAACUUGAGGUAUUUUAGAUUGUUGCUUAUUCAUUCCUUUUCCCUUUCUCUUACUCACCAGUAGACCUAGUUCCAGAACUCUCAUACUACAUGAUAUAUUGAUGACUAAGUAGCGUUCUUUUCAGCAGGUGCUGCAAGACCUGGGAAAGUUGUUGGUUCAGUAAUGCGUUAUAACAAUUGUGGGGUGGCGGCAACAGCAGAAGCUCAUGAACAACGACGGGUGGUCAGAAAUCCAACUAUUUCAACUCAAUAUACUGCUUCAAACUGUUCAUAUCCUAGAAGAAAUCCAGUCUGUAAAAAUGAAAGGAGAGAAGAUGAAGGGGUUGAAGGCUCUAAUGGAUUGCAGCCAAAGCCUCAGUACAUGGCCAGGAAAGUUGCUGCUGCCCAAGGUGGAUCUGGGAAUCACUGGUACUGAUAAUGUGGGCAUGUGGUAAACUAGAAUGCUCGACUGGCUAUAACCAACCUAAUGUUGACAGUCAUCGGAGCACAUUUAAUUGGAUUGAUCUUGCUGCCAAAGUGAAUUUAUAUGUUUCUACUGCUGUAAUUUAGUGGUGUUUUUCCACCAGCUCAAUUGCUUGAGAAGAUUUGAGGGCUGAGACUUCUGUUGUAGGAUGUUAGGCAGCAAGUUGUAAUUUAUAACGCUAAUUUAUGGUUGACUGGGUUCUUUGGUGCUUACCAUUCAUGACCUUAUAGCUCUCUGAUUUAGCUCAAUAACCCAGAUACAGGGAUGUAUGAUAUCAUGAAUGAGGAAAGGCAAACGGAUCUGUUGACUUGCCCAGUUCAAUUUUGUUUCCACUUCCUGCAAGAUACAAGUAAGCAAUUUCUUUAUCUCCCCCUGAUAGUUGAUUGUUGUGUAGUUCUGCUUAUGUUAUUUUAAGCCUGAAAUAAGGAUCUUCUCUUCUUGAACAAGAGGCCCAACGAGGGACACAUUAAGGGCAACAACUUUAUGCAGGGUAGCGCCUGGCUAUUAGGUUGCAAAAUAUAAUUGUGUUUGUCAAUGUUCUACUAGAUGCCUUUCUUAUUAACUGGAUUGAGAGAAUUUUUCUCAUUACCUUGUGCGGAAGGCUGGGAAAUAAUCUAUCGCUGGAUGAUGCAUGACACUCAGGUUGAGAGAGACAGAGG